rnacentral:lncRNA from 1 species
AAAAAGAGGUCACCAGAAUGACAUAAACCACUGUAGUAAAUGUAAUCAGAUAUUCAGGCUCUAGUCUGGAGCCUGGCCUAUUACAAGCAUCUCAAAGAGUGUCUAGCACAGUGCUGAUGAUGGUAAAGAAUGUCAAGGGCCUUGCAAAGAGGCCUUUGAACACUUCCUAAGAGAAGAACCAUUAUGAAGAAACAACACUGAAGAACUUCACUUUCUUCUUUUGUAUUUGGCAA